rnacentral:misc_RNA from 1 species
UACUCUCACACUUCCGAUCGUUUGGAUCGGGAGCGGUGGACUUGGGUGCUGCUGCUUUACUGUGGCUCACCUCAAAUGCGUUAGUGCAACUCUCGGUUGGACAUAGUACGGCGUGAUAAGUGUCUUCGCCGGCACCUCCUCACAGAGGGUGGCCGAUCGGGAGCUCUGUGCUCCCAACCGUCCUCGGACAACAACUGACA